rnacentral:rRNA from 1 species
AUACGUAGGUGACAAGCGUUAUCCGGAUUUACUGGGCGUAAAGGGCGUGUAGGCGGUCUUGCAAGUCAGAAGUGAAAUUCCUGAGCUCAACUCGGGCGCUGCUUCUGAAACUGCAGGACUUGAGUGCUGGAGGGGAUAGCGGAAUUCCUAGUGUAGCGGUGAAAUGCGUAGAUAUUAGGAGGAACACCGGUGGCGAAGGCGGCUUUCUGGACAGUAACUGACGCUGAGGCGCGAAAGCGUGGGGAGCAAACAGGAUUAGAUACCCUGGUAGUCCACGCCAUAAACGAUGAAUACUAGGUGUAGGGGGUAUCGACCCCCUCUGUGCCGACGUUAACACAUUAAGUAUUCCACCUGGGGAGUACGGCCGCAAGGCUGAAACUCAAAUGAAUUGGCGGGG